rnacentral:rRNA from 1 species
UGGGGAAUUUUGGACAAUGGGCGAAAGCCUGAUCCAGCCAUGCCGCGUGAGUGAAGAAGGCCUUCGGGUUGUAAAGCUCUUUUAGUCGGAAAGAAAGAGUUGCAAUGAAUAAUUGUGAUUUAUGACGGUACCGACAGAAAAAGCACCGGCUAACUACGUGCCAGCAGCCGCGGUAAUACGUAGGGUGCGAGCGUUAAUCGGAAUUACUGGGCGUAAAGGGUGCGCAGGCGGUCUUGCAAGUCAGAUGUGAAAGCCCCGGGCUUAACCUGGGAAGUGCGUUUGGAACUACAAGAGUAGAGUGGAGCAGAGGGGAGUGGAAUUACAGGUGUAGCAGUGAAAUGCGUAGAGAUGUGGAAGAACACCGAUGGCGA